GACGAUCAUGAUGACGAACUUAUGCAUCGAAGAUGAAUAAAAAAACCUCCAGGUUUCAUACAUUUCUCACAUUUACAGGCUGUCAUUGCUCACGGGAGACGCGUAUCAGCAGAGCAUGCGUAUUUCGCCAGCUGCAACAUUGAUGAGAACUUGUUACUUGUUGAGAUUAUGUCUCGCUUGAACCCAAAAAAAAAUCCAAAAAAAAACAGUUGAAUGAAAAAUUACAAAAAAAACAGUUGUUUGUGUGUAUGAUCUUUAGUUAAUGAUGAAUCUAGACUUCCUUUUUAUAAAAAAAAAACUAAUAGUAUGGUCUCUUAUUUUGCUUAAUAUUUCUCAAAAAUUAAUCAAAAAAAAAGUUUGCUCUUGUAGUCUAUAGCUAGUGUACCAGUAUGCUAUUUCAAGAAAAAAGAACAAAAAAUAUAUAUGUGUUGUUUGGAUUUUAUGGUUUACUAGCUCUAUAUAUUUAUGUGGGAUAACUAUUUUCAAUUGAGUUUGGUAGUCGGGUGGAUUUUCUGGGGUAGGUGGUAGGUGGGGGAACUCCGCCUAUGAUAUUAAUGUUAAGUUUACACUUGAUAUUUCUGCAUAGCCGGUCCCAAGCCCGGAUAAAGGAGGAGGGUCCCGCCAAUAACUAUAACUAGUAAACCUGCACCUGCAACACACGUCUCAAAAAUGAAGCACAUUAUUAUUAUAAUAAUAAUAAUAAUAACCUAUAUAAAAGCUGCACCUCUUUGCUGAAACCACGUUUUUCUGGGUAUUUUUUGGAAUUAAUUUUCACACUGAUUUGUUACUGUAGAUGGCUGCCUGGUACUGUAGAUCUGGGCGAGUUAAUUCACUGCCCUCUUUUUCUUUACAUGCAAAACGCUGCAUAACCGGGAGUAUCCGGUUGUCUUUUCCGGUUAUUACUCAUCUAAAAAAAAUUCUCGCAGCUUUUGCCUUUGAUCAGUUACCGGUUGCCUCCCUUCACUCCCGUCCCUUUUAGUUCGGUCAAAGCGGUGCCGAGGAGGCAAUGGAACAGUCCAGGCUCUCCACGACUCCGCUUCUUUCUCUUUGAUUUCCACUGACCCGGUAAAAAAAAGCAGCCCUAAUGGCCCUCCGCCGGACGAUGGAAAGUUGCUGCUGGGGAAGAACGGAGUAGAGUACGGGAUGUGCAUCUCAGUAAACCAAGUUGAAAUCUUGAGAAAAUAUCUUCUCUAGAUGACUUGCAAGCCAUACUAUGAAAUCAAGCGAGGACAUCAUCUGUAGGUGUUUGCAAAGAAACAUUAAGGAAACUGAGUGUUCGAGGGGUUUGAUUGCAAGGUUACUUCUUAGUUGGGUCACAUCUUAUGAGGUAUUGCUCAUACAGAUACAUGAGCAUCGUCAAUCAUGAGACCACCAGCGGAUUGCCAAUAUCAUCUACCAGAUUGAUCUACAUGUGGUGACAUCCAUUUCGUUGGAGAAUUUUAGUGCCAAACAAUAUGCACCAUCACCUCUAAGCAGUGCUUUGUAGGCAAGCAUUCAGUUGUGGGAUAUCAGGAUAUGGUACUGUAUAUUGGUAUCCAACAUCGUUUACUUGAGGAUCGGUAGCAUUUUGGGGUGCAUGGUCACUUUGGUGAGCAUAUCAUUGUGCAUCUCAACAUGAACACCGAAAUGGUGAUCUGCCCACCGCGUCACCUGAGGGAGUUAGGGUGGUAGCGACGCCACCGACGUGGAGGUGAAAUGGCGAGCAGGGAGCACCGAGGACAAAGACACCCACGUCGAACACAGGUACGGCGGCGACCAUCGGUUACGCGCGGCGGUGCGUAGGUACGUCACCUGACCUCUUCCUCCUCUACUCCCCUCUCCCUCUAUGGCCUUACCUCUUCUCUCUCGGUUUGCGAGCACAGUGGCGGCGGGAUUAUCUCGACCUUUGCCGGCGCGUCCUCUGCUCCACAGCUUUAGCCAGCGGCAUACGUUGGCCGCCGACGCGAUCUUGGCCCCACUACCACAUUCAAACGGUGAAAAGAUUGGUGGGUGUCCGGGGUCAGCACCACGGCAGGGCGCCAUGCCCCUGCUGGUCCUCGGGGGUUCUAUCCAAGCCCAGCAAGGAAAUGAGACUUGAGAUCCUGAGCUCGUUUUGCUGCAGGGAUGGACAGUUGACGGCCUUGAAGAGAGCCGGAUGAGGGAAAGCUGCUGCCAGGGAAGAACAGAGAGUACGGGAUGUGCAUCUCAGUACACCAAGGUUUCUUAAUUAAUAUGUAGCAUGUCUUAACAAAGCAUGAAUGUGUUCGGUUUGGUUUGUUUUAUGUAUUUUAAACAUGUCUGUACUGCUUCCACUAUUCUAAUAUGCGAAUAUGUAUAUGUAAAGACUGGGCGGUUCAGUUGAUGUUCUUCGGUUUAAUUAGUGAUUGAAGAAGGAACGGAGAGAAAAGGCUUUUGCAGCUUUUGCACUGUCUUUCAGUUAGUGAACAGAACCAAAUUGAGUGACAGUUCUUGA